rnacentral:rRNA from 1 species
CGUGACGGGUGAGUAACACGUGGGUAACCUACCUAUAAGACUGGGAUAACUUCGGGAAACCGGAGCUAAUACCGGAUAAUAUAUUGAACCGCAUGGUUCAAUAGUGAAAGACGGUUUUGCUGUCACUUAUAGAUGGAUCCGCGCCGCAUUAGCUAGUUGGUAAGGUAACGGCUUACCAAGGCAACGAUGCGUAGCCGACCUGAGAGGGUGAUCGGCCACACUUGAACUGAGACACGGUCCAG